GGGCGGGCUAUGUAUUGUUGAAGGACGGCCCUCUGUGUGUAAAGAAACACGAUAACCCUCUGCCGUGGGAUGACGCGCAGGCGCAAUGUGAAAAGGACCAUGGCCGACUAGCCGUUAUUGACGACAUUCACAAACUUGAAGCGUAUAACAAUUAUUCAGGCGAACCUGUAUGGGUAGGUGCCAGCGACAAGGCAAAGGAGGGGUCAUGGAUAUGGCUGAAUGGGGUCAGACUGGAUUCCACCUAUUGGCCAGAAACCAAACUCAAUAAUCGCGAUACCGCGUUUUCGGAGAAUACGCGCUCUGCCGAUUGUGCAACGCUGAAAUACAGAGAACUUAAUGACAAUCACUGCUUGAGGACAAUGAUAUACCUCUGUGAGAGGGCAGAUCUAGUUUAGUCUAGUAGUAUCAAUUUCUAUGGACUUGACCAUCCCGGUACUUGAUAUUUUCCAAAAUUGACCAUGCCGGAUAUCCUUGAUAGAUAAUAUUUUCAAACAAUUGGCCAUGUUCAAUGAAAUCAUCACAUGUUUCCCACGGACCCUUUCCAUUAUUUUUGUCUAAGAUGUCACAAGUUUAAUUUGUGAUAGACAUAGCUGAUCAUAGGCAAAAUAUUGCAACACCAUAAAUUGACUUGAUGUACACUGAACAUUGAUGGUAAUUUGUAAUCAUAUUUAAACCCCACUAUAAUGACAAUCGGUUAUGUACAAUAUUUGCAGCAUAUGACACAUCAAAUCAAAUGAAACUUUAAACUGUCCAGUGUGGUGAGCCGAAAAGACCAGCUCACCUGCUGCAUAUGCCUGCCAUGCCAAUACAUAUGUAAGACCUAUUGGGCGAACAAUUAGAGAAAACUAUUUCGCACUUUUCACUGGGAACGGUGGAUACAAGAACUGCUUUAUAACUAUAAAACAGAAAUCAAUGUUAUCUUAUUGGAAAGUGACAAACUUUGAUGUAUACUUGAAACACCGUUGGAGAGGAAUCUCUGUAACAGAAAAAAACAUAAGAAACUAAGCCACAUGAAAUUCUUCGCGUUUUACUUAUAAUAACGAACUGUUAUGAUAUCAUGAAGCACAUUUGGAAAGAAUCAAACAUAAACUCAAUAGAACAUUUGUCAAAGCUCAAGAUUUGUGUCUCUUAAAAACUAUGGAUAUUUGUGUGACAUCACGAAUCAAAUUUGAGUAAGGAUCAAACAAAAAAAUGAAUACAAAAAUGCAAAGAACAAAUUUAAAAUUUGGAGCUCAAAUGAAUGUUUUGGAAUUGCUCUCCACCGUCGCAAAAGAGCAUGAUGAUUACUGAAGAGAAAAAUAAAAGGUGAUAAAGAGAACACGAACGAAAAUGACAAUAGUAUUUUAUACAAACAUGCAACCUAGAUAUUCAGAUGGUCAAAUCAGCUCUGCGAAAAUUACUCCAAAUAUUGGUAAACUUUAUCUGAAAAUAAAUUCCAUUUGUAAAAACGAUACUUCUGUGACGAUAGUUGACAGUUUCUUAUUUUUGAUUUUUCAUCAAAAUAAAAAAAAAAUAAGCAUGAAUGAUAAACAAUCAAAAUUCUCCCACCUUCCUUAACUUACUUUAUAUAUUCAUGGGAUGCAAAACAAUGCAAAUUUCAAGCUGUUACUGUAUUUGAUUAGUAUAUUAUAUCUAGGCGAAUAUUAUUGCCACGUGUGAUAGGAGUAAAUAUGGCUAUGAAAAGAUAUACCCAUCUGAAGAUAAUGCUCAGUAUGCAUAACAUCAUAGCCGGAUAUCCGGUAUAUACGCCUUGCAAUGUUAUAUACUCAUUACGAUUAACCUGGAAUAGCUAUAUACUUGUGUUUAUACUCUCCGCAUUGGUUGGUAUCUCGUGGGGGAAAAACAACAAACUAUUGAUACUGCAGGGUCACAGAUGUUCACAACUUCAGAUAUUAGACAACUUUAGUUACUUGAAUCUUAACAUCAUAGUCAUCAAAUAUAAAGUGUUUGUAACAGAACAUUCUCAAUUUACUAUAGUGUUGUUACUUUGAAUAAUAGACACUCAGGAAUCUCACAACUAUCUAAAAUGGUGAUAUUUAAUCCAGUUGCAUUGGUAGUCUAGAACAAGAAUGACUAACGAUUGAUUAAAGCUAGGUUAGAACAUUUUAUUAACUUUUCUUGACUCAUUCAGAUAUCGUUAUGUUAUCAGAAUUAAAAAUCGAUCAAUAAAAAUAUUAAAAGUCCUUUUUUUAUCUUGAACAUUAUUUCCUGAUUUUCAUAUUUCAGUGAUGUGUUCAAUAACAGAAUAAAAUUCAAGGUCGUACUAUUGAAUUUAUUUCCUUGUGGUAUGAGAGCUCUAGAUGCUUGAAUAUGGUUUUACAAAGAAACAUUCUGCCAUAUAAUAUAAGUUGACUUCAACGCAUUUGUUGCAUUUGUAGAUAAAGGCUUGUGUAUCCCAUGCAAUCAUGAAUGAUUUUAUUAAAAAAAAUCCCUUGUAUUAAUUAAUUUAUUAAUUUAUUUGUUUAUUGUACUUAAUAGUUUUUUAGGGAUUGUUACAAAUUACCGGAAAACAGUCUUGAAAUACUAGUGAAUAGCUUUGUCAUAUAAAGGAAACAGGUUCAUAUCAUUACUGGUAUGUUCACCUGAUUUAAGAAAAUCUAUUCCUAAUUACAAAACUUAACUGCUCCAAAAUAAAUAUAAAGUUUGUUUUGAUUUUUUAAUAUAAGAAAUAGUUUCAGGCAUUAAAGACUCAAUGUUCCUGUCUGUAUUUCCAUGUUUCGGCACGGAUUUCAAACUAGCUUCUGAUACACUGCGAAGGGAUUGUGUUUACACUUUAUCAGAUUUAUGAGGACAAAAAGAGUGAAUUCUGCGAAGGUAUAAACGUCGUUCCAUUCAUCAAGCAUUUCAGGAAACCGGAUAGUGUUCCAAAUUAGACAUUCUCAAAUAUUCACCGACCCUUAGAGAUAAUCAUUUGCCACUGAGAAUGGUGACCAAACCAUUAAUUAUAAACAACUGCUAAAGAAGAAGCAUCGUGGUCAACGUGUGACCAAUGACUAGCGAUGUUACUGCGGGUUUCAUUUGUCAUUCAUUACAAGCAUCCUCAGCGAAUCACGGUUCCCAAUGUUCUGGAAAUAUUAUACAAACCCUUAGAAUGAAAAUAAUUGUUUAACCUUAUUUCCCUUCUGGAUUUCCAGUUGACAAAUAUAAGAAGCACAAUAUCAUAAUAUGAUGUUUUAUUCCAAAUUGGUAUUGAUGCCUUUUUUAUGCAUAUACACAAAAAACAGUGUGUGUAAAAAUACUGUAACGGAUAGUUCUCACUGGUGUUAGUGAAGACAAACUGUCAUUGUAAAGCUGUGCUAACAGCUGAUCGUUAUUGUACAGUGUGUUGUGACCGUUGUCACAUUUAGGUUGUUAUAUUUUGUCAUAUCACAUAAUAUCCUAGAUUUUGAGCAUUGGUAGAUAUCUCUAUAGAUAAUGUAUCUUUGCUUUAUUAGCUAAAAUAGUCUAUGGUUUUGUGGUACAUUGGUUGUUAUGGGCGACGCCAUCUUACAAUUAGCGUUCUUUUCGGUCAUGGCAAGCGAAGCUACUACGUAAGUGUAUGCGAUUAUUUGUAAUGUUUAGAAAAGAUAUAGGUAAUGUUUAGAUGUAUUAGAACAUAACAAGUCAAAUUAUAAUGGCAGUUCUGGUACUUACAAUUUUAUUUAGUAGUACAAGGUGAUGUUUACCACAGUAGUCAAAUGAGCACCUCUGUCAACUAUCGGUGAAGGUCGCUUGCCGGUUGACUGCGUACAGUACGGCUAUUGUAGGCCUAUUAUUUAGAGCCAAACCCGGAUUGUAACCAUUUUUAACGGGUUCCGGAUAGUGAUUAAUAUGUUCAUGUAAUUGUAGUUAUCAGAUUAAAGCUGUUAUUUUUAGAAUCUCCUGUUAUCUGAAACUGUUUCUUUGUUGGCAUUACGUUGCUAACUCGCGGCGUCAUCUAUGACGUCAAUGGCGUAAAACGUCCGAAUUGAUAGCUUCCGGCUUUUCUUGGAAGGUACAUAAUGUGUCCUUAUAGUUGGAUAAUUGUGAUAUGUCAUCACCGGUAAUACACUUUCUGAUUACAUAUUCUGAUAUCAUAUAGGAUUAUUGUUAUAUUGGAUUGUAGUAGCUGUUCUUACAUGAUUUAAACAGUAUCAAUAAAUAGAUUUGUCGUAAAUAGACAAUAUAGUAUUAGCCUUUUAUACAGGUAGCUAAAUACAUCGGUUCGACUAUGACUACAACUUAUCAGUGAGUUAGUUUAAUGGAUUACCCAAAUUUAAUGGAUUACAUCGAUUAAUCUAAUAUUAGGUCUGUCGACACUUUGAUAUUAUACUGAUAUAAUAUUGAUAUAUAAAUAUCAUGUUAUAACUUAUUAAUUUAUUGUGAUACAUCUGUAUCUUGAAUUGGGACCGAAUUCCAUGUAUGGUAAUGCAUAGAUAAAUUCUCCUGGGUGUGUAUGAAAGAAGAGUGGGAUAUUGAGCUUACUGUAUUGUAACUUAUUUAUUGUUGAGCUUUAUUCAAUAUAACAUUUAUACUUUGAAAA